CGGGGCUCAACGCCUUGUAAUUGGAAUGAUGGGAAUCUAAACCCAUUCCAGAGUAUCAAUUGGAGGGCAAGUCUGGUGCCAGCAGCCGCGGUAAUUCCAGCUCCAAUAGCGUAUAUUAAAAUUGUUGCAGUUAAAAAGCUCGUAGUUGAAUUUCUGCAGCAUCGCCACGGCCCCACGGGCCACGCGUUGCGGCUUAUUUCGGACUUGCGUGCAUCUCCGAAUGUUUACUUUGAGAAAAUUAGAGUGCUCAAAGCAGGCCCUUGCCUGAAUACUUUAGCAUGGAAUAAUAAAGUAGGACUUUGGUUCUAUUUUGUUGGUUUAGCGCCAAAGUAAUGGUUAAUAGGAACAGUUGGGGGCAUUCGUAUUUAACUGUCAGAGGUGAAAUUCUUAGAUUUGUUAAAGACGAACCACUGCGAAAGCAUUUGCCAAGGAUGUUUUCAUUAAUCAAGAAC
rnacentral:rRNA from 1 species